rnacentral:lncRNA from 1 species
UUUGAAGUAAAUCCAUACAGUUAAAGGUGAAGGGAAAAUCUUUUAUAACAGGCCAAAGAUUAGUAGCUUCUUUUAAUUUUGUAUUUUAUAUAUAGUAAUUAUAGUUAAGAAAACAUAUUCAAACACUUUCUCUAACAGUAAUUGAAGCACUAAUUUUUUUUUUAUCGCUCAUAUUUUUAAGAGAAGGCAACACUUUUCCUGAUAUAUUUUUCUCUCAUGCUCACUCUAUUAGUGAAUUAGUGAAUUAUGUUGGUGGGAUAAUUUCAUUCUUUUUUUUCACUAC